AACUCCUGACCCCAAUUGAUCUGCCCUCCUUGACCUCUCAUCCCAAAGUGCUGAGAUUACAGUCAUGAGCCAUUCACCCCGGCUGAUAGUCAAAGUUUUGACUCAGUGCAACAAAGAUACUACACUGAAAAGAGUAUGAUGGGCAGGUGGAACAUCUCCACUUAAGGCCAAGGAGAGAGUGAUAUUUUCAGAUGAAAAAACAAAGCCAGUAAGUAAAUUGCCCAGAGUUAACAUUAGGCCAGUUAUAAGAAAACAAUUGAUAUUCGAAUGUCUUUGAAUGUUCAUUAUUGUCCCUCUGUCAUACAACAAAUGUUAUUCCCAUUGUUGCAAUAAUUUCACAUUAUUACAAUAAGCAACAAUUGAAAUACUGUGAAUAAGAAUCAUGUGAUCCAAGUAAUGCUUCCAAAGCUCACAUCACUCUUUAAUGAAAGAGAUUACAUUACUAUAUAAAAAUCAUCUUCCAUUUACCCAUCUUAUGGUGGCUAUAGAAGUCAAUAUUAGGAAACAUGGAUAUUGGAAAAGAACCUGCCAAGCUUGUGAAAAUCUCCCAAAGUCAUAUCUCUGAAAAGUGAUUAUCAGCAUAGAAUAUCCGUCUCUUUGCACAGUUGCCCCAUUCUGUACUUCUUCAAGUAAGAUGAACAAAUGUUAAUAUUGUGUCUUUAAGGUCAUUGUUACCAUAAUUUUGCUCUUCUAUAACAACAUACAAUAAAAACUUUUUUUUUAAAUUUAUAAUCUAGCAAUAAUUUUCAACAUCAGAUUGUCCUGCUAGUUUGUACUAUCAAUUAGCUUAUUCUUUUUAAGUUUUCAUUUUGAUGUGUUUGUUUUUUCUUUAUCAACAUGGCAUUGUUAUUAUUUCUUUUUAUUGGUGGUUUCUAUGUAUCACUUCUCCCUCUGUGACUUCUUUGUUUUGUAUGUGUAUGUAUGUAUUUAUUUUUGCUAAAAAAAAGCUAGAAAGAUAAACCAGAAACCAAUAAUAAUGAUUACAUUCAUGGUAUAGGGGGUCAUAAAUAGUAAAGAUGGGUAGAGAUGGGAAGGAAACAUCUCCGAAUAGAAAUUUUUUGUUUACUUGGGUUCUGGGGUAUGUGUGCAGAAUGUGUAGCUUUGUUACAUAAGCAUGCAAAUGGCAUGGUAAUUUGCUGCCACUGUCAACCCGUAACUUAGGUUUUAAGCCCCACAUGCAUUACAUGUUUUUCCUAAUGCUCUCCCUCCUGUUUUCCGCACCCCAAACAGGCCCUGGUGUGUGAUGUUCCCCUCCCUCCUCUGCAUGAGUGAGAACAUGCAGUAUUUGGAUUUCUGUUCCUGUGAUAGUCUGCUGAGAAUGAUGGUUUCCAGCUUCAUCCAUGAAGUGACAUAAGCUUUGGAAGCAUUACUUGGAACACAUGAUUCUUAUUCAUUAUAUUUCACUUGCUAAUUGUAAUAAUGUGAAAUUAUUGCAAUAAUGAGAAUAACAUUUGUUGUAAGACAGAGGGACAAUAGUGAACAUUCAAAGGCAUUUGAAUAUCGAUUGUUUUCUUAAAACUGGCCUAAUAUUAACUUUGGGCAAAGGACAUGAAUUCAUCCUUUUUUAUGGCUGCAUAGUAUACUGUGGUGUAUAUGUGCCACAUUUUUUCAUCCAAUCUGUCAUUCAUGGGCAUUUGGGUUGGUUCCAGAUCUUUGCUAUCACAAAUAGUGCAGCAAUGAACCUAGGUGUGCAUGUGUCUUUAUAGUAGAAUAAUUUAUAAUCCUUUGGGUAUAUACCUAGUAAUGACGCGGCUGGGUCAAAUGGUAUUUCUGGUUCUAGAUCCUUGAGGAAUCGCCACACUGUCUUCCACAAUGGUUGAAAUAAUUUACACUCCCACAAACAGUGUAAAAGUGUUCCUAUUUCUCCACAUCUUCUUUCAGAUAUUUAUAUUUAAUUAUAUUUCAGCUUAAUUAUCUGCUUUUCUAAACUCUCCACAUUUAGGGUAUCUUGCUUAAUAUUUCUUCCUAAAUCACUGCAAGCAUUUAUAAUUUUUGUUCAUUUUCCUGAACUUCCAUUUCACCUAAACUUUUCCUUAAUUUUUCACUAUGAAAACAUGAAAGUUUGUUUUUGCUGAAAUAUUCAGAAAGACAAUAUUGUGUUACUUGAAUAAUCAAAUAAAAAGAACAUGACUAUGUAA